rnacentral:rRNA from 1 species
AUACGGAGGUUCCAAGCGUUAUCCGGAAUCAUUGGGUUUAAAGGGUCCGCAGGCGGUCAAUUAAGUCAGAGGUGAAAGCCCAUCGCUCAACGAUGGAACUGCCUUUGAUACUGGUUGACUUGAGUUAUACGGAAGUAGAUAGAAUAAGUAGUGUAGCGGUGAAAUGCAUAGAUAUUACUUAGAAUACCGAUUGCGAAGGCAGUCUACUACGUAUAUACUGACGCUGAGGGACGAAAGCGUGGGGAGCGAACAGGAUUAGAUACCCCAGUAGUCC